rnacentral:rRNA from 1 species
UACGUAGGGUGCGAGCGUUAAUCGGAAUACUGGGCGUAAAGCGUGCGCAGGCGGCUGUGCAAGACAGGUGUGAAAUCCCCGGGCUUAACCUGGGAACUGCACUUGUGACUGCAUGGCUGGAGUACGGCAGAGGGGGAUGGAAUUCCGCGUGUAGCAGUGAAAUGCGUAGAUAUGUGGAGGAAUACCGAUGGCGAAGGCAGCCCCCUGGGAUAACACUGACGCUCAUGCACGAAAGCGUGGGGAGCAAACAGG